rnacentral:rRNA from 1 species
GGGCGCAAGCCUGAUCCAGCCAUGCCGCGUGUGUGAAGAAGGCCUUCGGGUUGUAAAGCACUUUCAGCGGGGAGGAAGGGGNGUNNGUUAAUACUUGGCUGNNUUGACGUUACCCNCAGAAUAAGCACCGGCUAACUCCGUGCCAGCAGCCGCGGUAAUACGGAGGGUGCAAGCGUUAAUCGGAAUUACUGGGCGUAAAGCGCGCGCAGGCGGUUUGUUAAGUCAGAUGUGAAAUCCCCGGGCUCAACCUGGGAACUGCAUUUGAAACUGGCNNGCUAGAGUCUGGUAGAGGGGGGUGGAAUUCCAGGUGUAGCGGUGAAAUGCGUAGAUAUCUGGAGGAACACCGGUGGCGAAGGCGGCCCCCUGGACAAAUACUGACGCUCAGGUGCGAAAGCGUGGGGAGCAAACAGGAUUAGAUACCCUC